rnacentral:rRNA from 1 species
CCUACGGGAGGCAGCAGUGGGGAAUUUUGGACAAUGGGCGCAAGCCUGAUCCAGCAAUGCCGCGUGAGUGAAGAAGGCCUUCGGGUUGUAAAGCUCUUUUGUCAGGGAAGAAACGGUGGGGGCUAAUAUCCUCCACUAAUGACGGUACCUGAAGAAUAAGCACCGGCUAACUACGUGCCAGCAGCCGCGGUAAUACGUAGGGUGCAAGCGUUAAUCGGAAUUACUGGGCGUAAAGCGUGCGCAGGCGGUUUUGUAAGUUUGUCGUGAAAUCCCCGGGCUCAACCUGGGAAUGGCGAUGAAGACUGCAAGGCUAGAAUCUGGCAGAGGGGGGUAGAAUUCCACGUGUAGCAGUGAAAUGCGUAGAGAUGUGGAGGAACACCGAUGGCGAAGGCAGCCCCCUGGGUCAAGAUUGACGCUCAUGCACGAAAGCGUGGGGAGCAAACAGGAUUAGAUACCCUGGUAGUCCACGCCCUAAACGAUGUCUACUAGUUGUCGGGUUUUAAUUAACUUGGUAACGCAGCUAACGCGUGAAGUAGACCGCCUGGGGGAGGUACGGUCGCAGAUAAACGUACAAUAGAGUAGUACGCGUGAGACGUGCCGACGGACGACGACGAGGGAGGAGG